rnacentral:rRNA from 1 species
GCUCGUAGGCGGUUUGUCGCGUCUGCUGUGAAAUCCCGAGGCUCAACCUCGGGCCUGCAGUGGGUACGGGCAGACUAGAGUGCGGUAGGGGAGAUUGGAAUUCCUGGUGUAGCGGUGGAAUGCGCAGAUAUCAGGAGGAACACCGAUGGCGAAGGCAGAUCUCUGGGCCGUAACUGACGCUGAGGAGCGAAAGGGUGGGGAGCAAACAGGCUUAGAUACCCUGGUAGUCCACCCCGUAAACGUUGGGAACUAGUUGUGGGGUCCAUUCCACGGAUUCCGUGACGCAGCUAACGCAUUAAGUUCCCCGCCUGGGGAGUACGGCCGCAAGGCUAAAACUCAAAGGAAUUGACGGGGACCCGCACAAGCGGCGGAGCAUGCGGAUUAAUUCGAUGCAACGCGAAGAACCUUACCAAGGCUUGACAUAUACGAGAACGGGCCAGAAAUGGUCAACUCUUUGGACACUCGUAAACAGGUGGUGCAUGGUUGUCGUCAGCUCGUGUCGUGAGAUGUUGGGUUAAGUCCCGCAACGAGCGCAACCCUCGUUCUAUGUUGCCAGCACGUAAUGGUGGGAACUCAUGGGAUACUGCCGGGGUCAACUCGGAGGAAGGUGGGGAUGACGUCAAAUCAUCAUGCCCCUUAUGUCUUGGGCUUCACGCAUGCUACAAUGGCCGGUACAAAGGGCUGCAAUACCGUGAGGUGGAGCGAAUCCCAAAAAGCCGGUCCCAGUUCGGAUUGAGGUCUGCAACUCGACCUCAUGAAGUCGGAGUCGCUAGUAAUCG